rnacentral:tRNA from 3 species
GGAGCUAUCGUCUAGUGGUUUAGGACGCAAGGUUUUGAUCCUUGCAACCUGGGUUCGAACCCCAGUAGCUCCU